UCCCACAUUUUUCUUUAAGCUCUUCUUUCCAGCUGAUCCCGUGGAGAAACUGAAAGUACCUCUCGAGAGCUAACGACUGGCCAGCCAGCCCAGACCACCCAGGUCAGUCUGAACUCAGCCACCCACUCGCACCUGUGGAGACGGACCAUGGAAUGUGAUUGUUUUCCUUCUUUGUGAGGAACAAGUGAGUCACACUGAAGUUUGAGAAGGACUGCCUCAUGUGACCGAGGCAUAACACCCCAUCACACGCUGCAAACUCAUUUCAUCGGGGUGUUAAAGAAACAGAUUUGGUGACGGUGACAGGAUGGAAGUGAACUUCUGGUGGCAUUUGGGGACAAUGAGAAACACAGGCCUGGUACCACAAACCUUUGGAGUAGGGCUGAAGCCCAGAGAGACUUGAGAGCACCCAGCUGCACAAGCCACCAGCCUGUGCCCCUGGACGCCGUCUCCCAGCCCCCACCUCCUUGGCUGAGGUGCUGCAGACACCAAAGCUAAUCUGGCCCGUGUGCUGCUGUGAAAUUAAAAGUUUGGAUCAUGGAAUCAACAGCCACAUGAGCAGCCUUGUGGAAGCAGGGUUUUUCUCUUCAUCUGGCAGAAGGGAAACAUGCUCGCCUCUUGGACACAUGUGCUCUUUCCUCCAUGGUGCAUGGGUGCUGGAAGCCCCGUGCCUCAGUCUUGAGUUCAUUAUUUCUCUCAAGGCCUCUGCUUAUCCUUGAAGCUGGAGGCUACAGAUGAGGGCUGCUCCAUCAUUUAAAACCAGGUUGAAGCAUCACCACUGCAGCCUGCUCAUCUCCGUGGGUUCUGAGCCCCAGACACUACUGUUUUUUUGUUUGUUUUUUUUUAAGAUUUUAUUUAUUUAUUUGACAGAGAGAGAGACAGCGAGAGAGGGAACACAAGCAGGGGGAGUGGGAGAGGGAGAAGCAGGCUUCCUGUGGAGCAGGGAGCCCGACUCGGGGCUCCAUCCCAGGACCCUGAGAUCAUGACCUGAGCCGAAGGCAGACGCUUAACAACCGAGCCACCCAGGCGCCACCCAGACACUACUGUUAACAAAGAAGCCCACCUCUCCAAAUUUGUUACGUUUGCCCAAGGUCAUUCAAACAGCUGGGACAGAAGGGCAGCCUUCCACUUAUCUGAUAUUCUGCAGGUUGCACUGGUAGCUUCUGUAAGCACUCUCUGUUAGGAUUAGAGAUGUGGUACAUGCCAGAGUCCUAACAGAGAAUUACAAAUAGGCAGUGUAACAGACAUACAGCAGCACGUGUCAAGUCACAACCCUCCACCACACUCACAUCUGCCAUCAUGCUCUGGCUAUUUGUGUGCCCUGCACUUCCUUCCCCAUGACUAAAGAUAAGAGGAUCCCUUACAUUUCAGCCUACCCUCUGUGUGACAUACCCUUCUAAGACUGAGCUCCAGCUGUCUCGAAUGGGUGGGGAAACCACAGUGAGAACCAAUCCCCACCCUCCAGAGAUAGCCACUCCUGCUCAGAAGUACCUGGCCAGGGGGUGCCUGGGUGGCUCAGUUGGUUAAGCAUCUGCCUUCGGCUCUGGUCACGAUCUCAGGGUCCUGGGAUCCAGCCCCGUGUUGGGCUCUCUGCUUGGCAGGGAGUCUGCUUCUCCCUCUCACUUUCCCUCUGUGCUCUCUCUCUCAAAUAAAUAAAUAAAAUCUUUUAAGAAAGGAAGAAGAAGGAGAAGAAGAAGAAGGAGAAGAAGGAGGAAGAGGCGAAGAAGAAAGGAGAAGUAGUAGUAGUAGAAGUAGGAGUAGGAGUACCUGGCCAGGGGCAGUCCUCUCUUGCCCUGCUCUGUGUAUCUCCUUCUUUCUGUAUUACUAAGAAAGUCUUUGCCCACUCCCUCUGUGGCCAUAUUGGAGCACAGACCUACACAGUCCUGAGCUGGGGGCUCUGUUAGCCCAUCCUGUACCCAGCUACCAUGGCUUCUCAGUGUCUCUCCCUGGUCUCAGCAGACCUCUCUUGUCCUGUAGGUUUCAGCUGAAAUGCCUCUCUUCUCCAGGAGGUCUCCCUGAGCAUGUUCCGUAGCACCUUUCUCUAUCAACCCCCUCUAUUUCACUUCCAACAGAGCACUCCCUGAUGGUACUUAUCACUGAUUCCCACCCCCCCACACACACCCUAAACCUGGGCUGUGCAACAUCACAGCCACCAGCUACACUCGGCCAUGGGGUGCUUGAAAUGGGACCGGUCUGAAUUGACAUCUGCUCUGUGUGUAAAACAUACACACAGGAUUCCAAGUACUUAGCACACAUAGGAAAGAUGUAAAAAUAUCUCAUUAAACAAUUGCUUGUGUAUGUUGAAAUAAUAUUUUGGAUA